AUUGAACGCUGGCGGAAUGCUUUACACAUGCAAGUCGAACGGCAGCACGGGGCAACCUGGUGGCGAGUGGCGAACGGGUGAGUAAUACAUCGGAACGUGCCCAAUCGUGGGGGAUAACGUAGCGAAAGUUACGCUAAUACCGCAUACGAUCUACGGAUGAAAGCGGGGGAUCGAAAGACCUCGCGAGAAUGGACUGGCCGAUGUCAGAUUAGGUAGUUGGUGGGGUAAAGGCUCACCAAGCCAACGAUCUGUAGCUGGUCUGAGAGGACGACCAGCCACACUGGGACUGAGACACGGCCCAGACUCCUACGGGAGGCAGCAGUGGGGAAUUUUGGACAAUGGGCGCAAGCCUGAUCCAGCCAUUCCGCGUGCAGGAUGAAGGCCUUCGGGUUGUAAACUGCUUUUGUACGGAACGAAACGGUUCUCUCUAAUACAGGGGGCUAAUGACGGUACCGUAAGAAUAAGCACCGGCUAACUACGUGCCAGCCGCCGCAGUAACAC
rnacentral:rRNA from 1 species